AAUUUCAAAUUUUUUUUGUGUUUUUUAUUUGUUUUCAAUGUUAAUUUCUGAUUAAAUUAUUAUUUUUGAUAAACCUAUUUAGAAUCUAAUUUGGGUUUUGCCUGGAUUCCAGAGUAAAAACCUUGAAACUUAAAGAAAUGCUAUUCUUGCUGAAGACCUGCCAUAUAUUUGUGUCCCAAGCGACAUACAGAAUAAUUUACAAUGUCUUCAGCUUCUAUUGAUCUGGCCCAGUUUACAGCUCAGGGGAAAGAAAACUUGGAAUCAGACAUAACAUGUAUGAUGAAUAAGAAACUCAUACACAGAAUGACCCCACCAAGAUUUCAGCUACCUGGCAAUCAACGACUAAUAUCUCUUCUAAGAAGGCAAGAUCAACAUAUGGCAUGUCAGAGCAGUAUAUUUUUCACAAACAGAUGGUAAAAUUGUACACAUCACAUUAG